rnacentral:rRNA from 1 species
UACAGAGGUCUCAAGCGUUGUUCGGAUUCAUUGGGCGUAAAGGGUGCGUAGGCGGCGCGGUAAGUCGGGUGUGAAAUCUCGGAGCUUAACUCCGAAACUGCAUUCGAUACUGCCGUGCUUGAGGACUGGAGAGGAGACUGGAAUUUACGGUGUAGCGGUGAAAUGCGUAGAUAUCGUAAGGAAGACCAGUGGCGAAGGCGGGUCUCUGGACAGUUCCUGACGCUGAGGUGCGAAAGCGUGGGGAGCAAACGGG